AUUGAACGCUGGCGGCAGGCCUAACACAUGAAAGUCGAACGGUAGCACAGAGGAGCUUGCUCCUUGGGUGACGAGUGGCGGACGGGUGAGUAAUGUCUGGGAAACUGCCCGAUGGAGGGGGAUAACUACUGGAAACGGUAGCUAAUACCGCAUAACGUCUUCGGACCAAAGUGGGGGACCUUCGGGCCUCACACCAUCGGAUGUGCCCAGAUGGGAUUAGCUAGUAGGUGGGGUAAUGGCUCACCUAGGCGACGAUCCCUAGCUGGUCUGAGAGGAUGACGAGCCACACUGGAACUGAGACACGGUCCAGACUCCGACGGGAGGCAGCAGUGGGGAAUAUUGCACAAUGGGCGCAAGCCUGAUGCAGCCAUGCCGCGUGUAUGAAGAAGGCCUUCGGGUUGUAAAGUACUUUCAGCGGGGAGGAAGGCGAUGUGGUUAAUAACCGCAUCGAUUGACGUUACCCGCAGAAGAAGCACCGGCUAACUCCGUGCCAGCAGCCGCGGUAA
rnacentral:rRNA from 1 species